GCUUAUCUUUUCCAUGUGCUUUAUAGUUGAUUUGAAAGCUGUUUGUUUUAUUCUUUUAUUAUUAUUACUCGUGUGUAUUUGUAUGUAUAUUAUUAAAUACAGGUUAGAACCCUUCCAUAAAAAAAUAACAACCAUUGUCGUGUCAGAAUACUUAAUUGUUAAAAAAUAUUUUAGAAAAUUAUAAAAAUAUCAAGAAGGAUAAUACAAUUUCUACGGUUUGAGGCAGAGCAUUUAUGACAGACUCUCUUUUUUCUCUUUGUUUGGAAUUUAUACAUUUACGCAGUGGGUUGGACCUUAAAAUACGUAUCCCCGUGUAAAAUUGAAAAGACAGGAAAAAUAAUAAACUUUAUAUGUUUUUC
rnacentral:lncRNA from 1 species